CCUACGGGAGGCAGCAGUGAGGAAUAUUGGUCAAUGGACGAGAGUCUGAACCAGCCAAGUAGCGUGAAGGAUGACUGCCCUAUGGGUUGUAAACUUCUUUUAUAAAGGAAUAAAACGAGGCACGUGUGCCUUUUUGCAUGUACUUUAUGAAUAAGGAUCGGCUAACUCCGUGCCAGCAGCCGCGGUAAUACGGAGGAUCCGAGCGUUAUCCGGAUUUAUUGGGUUUAAAGGGAGCGUAGAUGGGUUGUUAAGUCAGUUGUGAAAGUUUGCGGCUCAACCGUAAAAUUGCAAUUGAUACUGGCAGUCGUGAGUACAGUUGAGGUAGGCGGAAUUCGUGGUGUAGCGGUGAAAUGCUUAGAUAUCACGAAGAACCACGAUUGCGAAGGCAGCUUACUAAACUGUGACUGACAUUGAUGCUCGAAAGUGUGGGUAUCAAACAGGAUUAGAUACCCGUGUAGUC
rnacentral:rRNA from 1 species